rnacentral:rRNA from 1 species
UACGUAGGGUGCGAGCGUUAAUCGGAAUUACUGGGCGUAAAGCGUGCGCAGGCGGCUUUGCAAGACAGAUGUGAAAUCCCCGGGCUCAACCUGGGAACUGCAUUUGUGACUGCAUAGCUAGAGUACGGCAGAGGGGGAUGGAAUUCCGCGUGUAGCAGUGAAAUGCGUAGAUAUGCGGAGGAACACCGAUGGCGAAGGCAAUCCCCUGGGCCUGUACUGACGCUCAUGCACGAAAGCGUGGGGAGCAAACAGG